UGACCCGGGCGUAAGGGACCGAAAAUAAGUAGGGAAGCAUGCUUGGAUGGUGGCGAGAAAAGCUUCGUGUAUAUAAGCAGGGUACCCGUACUGCAAACCGACACAGGUAGUCAGGAAGAGGAUUCUAAGGCCAUCGGGAGAAGCGUUGUUAAGGAACUCGGCAAAUUGACCCCGUAACUUCGGAAUAAGGGGUGCUCACGCGAGUGAGCCGCAGUGAAUAGGUCCAGGCAACUGUUUAUCAAAAACACAGCUCUCUGCUAAAUCGUAAGAUGACGUAUAGGGGGUGACACCUGCCCGGUGCUGGAAGGUUAAGAGGAGGGGUGCAAGCUCCGAAUUGAAGCCCCAGUAAACGGCGGCCGUAACUAUAACGGUCCUAAGGUAGCGAAAUUCCUUGUCGGGUAAGUUCCGACCCGCACGAAUGGUGUAAUGAUCUGGAUACUGUCUCAACAACGCACCCGGCGAAAUUGUAGUACCGGUGAAGAUGCCGGUUACCCGCGGCAAGACGGAAAGACCCCAUGGAGCUUCACUGUAGCCUGAUAUUGGGUCUCGGUAUUUUAUGUACAGGAUAGGCGGGAGACUUGGAAACCAGCACGCCAGUGUUGGCGGAGUCACCCUUGGGAUACCGCUCUUAAAGUAUUGAGAUUCUAACCUGCAGCCAUGAAUCUGGCUGGGGGACAUUGUCAGGUGGGCAGUUUGACUGGGGCGGUCGCCUCCAAAAGAGUAACGGAGGCGUUCAAAGGUUCACUCAGCAUGGACGGAAACCAUGCCUUAGAGUGCAAACGCAUAAGUGAGCCUAACUGCGAGACUGACGGGUCGAGCAGUAACGAAAGUUGGAGUUAGUGAUCCGGCGGUAUGUGAGUGGAAAUGCCGUCGCUCAACGGAUAAAAGCUACCCUGGGGAUAACAGGCUGAUCUCCCCCAAGAGUCCACAUCGACGGGGAGGUUUGGCACCUCGAUGUCGGCUCAUCGCAUCCUGGGGCUGAAUUCGGUCCCAAGGGUUUGGCUGUUCGCCAAUUAAAGCGGUACGCGAGCUGGGUUCAGAACGUCGUGAGACAGUUCGGUCCCUAUCUGUCGUGGGCGUAGGAUAUUUGCAAGGAGCUGUCCCUAGUACGAGAGGACCGGGAUGGACGCACCUCUGGUGCACCAGUUGUCACGCCAGUGGCACAGCUGGGCAGCUAUGUGCGGAACGGAUAAACGCUGAAGGCAUCUAAGCGUGAAGCCGGCCUUAAGAUAAGAUAUCCCACUGAGUAAUCAGGUAAGACCCCUUGAAGACUACAAGGUUGAUAGGCUCAAAGUGUAAGCGUCGUGAGGCGUUAAGCUAGCGAGUACUAAUCGGUCGAGGGCUUGACCAU
rnacentral:rRNA from 1 species